GAUUCCCCUAGUAACUGCGAGUGAAGCGGGAAAAGCUCAAAUUUAAAAUCUGGCGGUCUUUUGGCUGUCCGAGUUGUAAUCUAGAGAAGUGUUAUCCGCGCUGGACCGUGUACAAGUCUCCUGGAAUGGAGCAUCAUAGAGGGUGAGAAUCCCGUCUUUGACAUGGACUGCCAGGGCUUUUGUGAUGCGCUCUCAAAGAGUCGAGUUGUUUGGGAAUGCAGCUCAAAAUGGGUGGUAAAUUCCAUCUAAAGCUAAAUAUUGGCGAGAGACCGAUAGCGAACAAGUACCGUGAGGGAAAGAUGAAAAGAACUUUGGAAAGAGAGUUAAACAGUACGUGAAAUUGCUGAAAGGGAAACGCUUGAAGUCAGUCGCGUCGUCCAGGGAUCAACCUUGCUUUUGCUUGGUGCACUUUCUGGUUUGACGGGUCAGCAUCAAUUUUGACCAUUGGAAAAAGAUCAAGGGAAUGUGGCAUCUUUGGAUGUGUUUAUAGCCCUUGGUCACAUACAAUGGUUCGGGAUUGAGGAACUCAGCAUGCCGCAAGGCCGGGUGUUUACACCACGUACGUGCUUAGGAUGUUGACAUAUAUAAUGGCUUUAAUCGACCCGUCUUGAAACACGGACCAAGGAGUCUAACAUGCCUGCGAGUGUUUGGGUGGAAAACCCGAGCGCGUAAUGAAAGUGAAAAGUUGAGAUCCCUGUCGUGGGGAGCAUCGACGCCCGGAUCAGACCUUUUGUGACGGUUCCGCGGUAGAGCAUGUAUGUUGGGACCCGAAAGAUGGUGAACUAUGCCUGAAUAGGGUGAAUCCAGAGGAAACUCUGGUGGAGGCUCGUAGCGAUUCUGACGUGCAAAUCGAUCGUCAAAUUUGGGUAUAGGGGCGAAAGACUAAUCGAACCAUCUAGUAGCUGG
rnacentral:rRNA from 1 species